CGGCAACGGAUAUCUCGGCUCUCGCAUCGAUGAAGAACGUAGCGAAAUGCGAUACUUGGUGUGAAUUGCAGAAUCCCGUGAACCAUCGAGUCUUUGAACGUAAGUUGCGCCCGAAGCCAUCAGGCCGAGGGCACGCCUGCCUGGGCGUCACACGCCGUUGCCCCC
rnacentral:rRNA from 1 species